rnacentral:lncRNA from 10 species
UCCUGCCAUGUGGGAGUCAUCAACCCAAUGGGUGACUUCUUUUCUGCUCCACAUAUAAGAGGAUUACUUAGACCGAGCCAGGACAAUGAGAUUCAAUCCUGAAAUUUUUUUCAAACUUGGAAAGAGGAUCUCUUUUCCAUGGGAUUGAAAAUAGAGCUCCUGAGAACCUGCCUGAUGGAGAGUGCAACAUAGAGAAAAGCAGAACGAAGACACAGAGAGAAGGAGUUCCAUUUUGACUUCUAGAUCCAACCUUGCCUGCAGCUGAGCUUGUUCACUGAGUAAGAUUAUCACUAUACUUUUCAGUUUUAUGAGCCAAUAAAU